GCAGCCGCGGUAAUACGUAGGGGGCAAGCGUUAUCCGGAAUUACUGGGUGUAAAGGGAGCGUAGGCGGCAUGUCAAGCCAGAUGUGAAAGCCCGAGGCUUAACCUCGCGGAUUGCAUUUGGAACUGGCAAGCUAGAGUACAGGAGAGGAAAGCGGAAUUCCUAGUGUAGCGGUGAAAUGCGUAGAUAUUAGGAAGAACACCAGUGGCGAAGGCGGCUUUCUGGACUGAAACUGACGCUGAGGCUCGAAAGCGUGGGGAGCAAACAGGAUUAGAUACCCC
rnacentral:rRNA from 1 species